UUCAAUGGCAUCUACCAAGCAUUUAA
rnacentral:misc_RNA from 1 species